GAUGAACGCUGACAGAAUGCUUAACACAUGCAAGUCGACUCGAGUCUUCGGACUUGGGUGGCGCACGGGUGAGUAACGCGUAAAGAACUUGCCUCUUAGACCGGGACAACAUCUGGAAACGGAUGCUAAUACCGGAUAUUAUGGUUUUUUCGCAUGGAGGAAUCAUGAAAGCUAGAUGCGCUAAGAGAGAGCUUUGCGUCCCAUUAGCUAGUUGGUGAGGUAACGGCCCACCAAGGCAAUGAUGGGUAGCCGGCCUGAGAGGGUGAACGGCCACAAGGGGACUGAGACACGGCCCUUACUCCUACGGGAGGCAGCAGUGGGGAAUAUUGGACAAUGGACCACAAGUCUGAUCCAGCAAUUCUGUGUGCACGAUGACGUUUUUCGGAAUGUAAAGUGCUUUCAGUCGGGAAGAAGUCAGUGACGGUACCGACAGAAGAAGCGACGGCUAAAUACGUGCCAGCAGCCGCGGUAAUACGUAUGUCGCAAGCGUUAUCCGGAUUUAUUGGGCGUAAAGCGCGUCUAGGCGGCAAGGAAAGUCUGAUGUGAAAAUGCGGAGCUCAACUCCGUAUGGCGUUGGAAACUGCCUUACUAGAGUACUGGAGAGGUAGGCGGAACUACAGGUGUAGAGGUAAAAUUCGUAGAUAUUUGUAGGAAUGCCGAUGGGGAAGCCAGCCUACUGGACAGAUACUGACGCUAAAGCGCGAAAGCGUGGGUAGCAAACAGG
rnacentral:rRNA from 1 species